rnacentral:lncRNA from 1 species
UUAAGCUCUUUUGCCAUGAAAUACACUAAGUAUUUAUUAUUGUAAUGAGUACAUUAAGCUCUUUUGUCAUGAAAUACACUAAGUAUUUAGCAUUGUAAUGAGUACAUUAAGCUCUUUUGUCAUGAAAUACACUAAGUAUUUAGCAUUGUAAUGAGUACAUUAAGCUCUUUUGUCAUGAAAUACACUAAGUAUUUAUCAUUGUAAUGAGUACAUUAAGCACUUUUUUCAUGAAAUACACUAAGUAUUUUAGAGGUGUACUACCCAUACAAGGAGGAUUUGAGAUUGUUAUUGCCACAUAACAAUCAAGGUAAGAACUAAACCCCAUUCAUAUGUUAAUAUUGAUUACCACAUGCUAGAUCUAGGGCUUAAAGUCUUGGAUGAAUGCAUGUACAAUAGAGAAACCUAUAUCCAAGCAUUAGGGUUUGCAUGAGCACAUAGGAUGUUCUUAUGGCUUAAACCCAUUAGCUCCUUGGUCUUAGAAUACACCAAGAUAUCAUCAAUAAAC